rnacentral:lncRNA from 1 species
GCUUGCCCAGGGAAGCCUUUAACUGGGGAUAAGCCUUAAUCUAUGCUGCAGACUUAGGAUCUGUGUUAUUGGUCUGGCAGGGAAGCACCUGGCCCCGGAGCCAUGAUGCCUGGAAACUGUUCCUCUCCAGCAGCGAUUUUUCCAGAGCAGGAUGGAGGAGGUGCAGAAAUACCUUAUUGCUUACGUGGAUCUUCAGUCUGUGUCUUCAGUGACGCUGAAUAGCAAAUGCAUUUUCCUUCUGCCCUGAAAAAUGAGUCUUUCUGCAGUGAGGAGCAGAAUCUCCCCAUAUCUACCAGCAAACCGAGGAUCAGUACAGCUCUGUGGCCCGACUGCUGCAUGGAGGGGACCUGUGAAGCUCCAGCAUUUACAGGUGGCAGAUGUUGCCAGGUGCAAGGUGAGUUUCUGGGCUUGAACGGCACUGAAACACAGAAAACAGAAAGGGCAGAAGGGAGCACUGAAAGGGGAACUGCCUCCUGGGUCAACACGCCUUUAUUUUCACCAUUCCUACUCCAAAGUUGUGUAAUGUUUAACUGAAAAAUAUAACUAUAGCAAUAGUGGACUGAAAGCAAACUGCUGCGUGCUUCACUGAGCUGCAGGGUGUUUGCUCUCAGGGCUUGGGUUUUUGCUUUGCCAUGCUCGGUUUUUUCAGGUUGAACUCAAGCUGACAUCGGUGUGCGAGAGGAGAACUGGAGUGUCUGGGAACAAAAAGGUUUAACAAACACUUCUUCAGACUCUUUUAAGAAGGAUUUCCUUAUUUACUUGGGAAGGAUGUUCAGAAAGAUCCCCGAUAAUAAACAGCUAAUUCCUAAACUCCUAAGGUAGAGAACAAAGUAUUUUUAACAAUCAGUAUCAGAGCUGUGUGUUUGCUGCAUGCAGCCCAGAGCUUCGUUUUGAAUAACUCCCAAUACUUGUUUUUUCUCAUUAGCUGAGAUGUGAGUUAACACGUAAGCAAACUAGAGACCUCUCAGCAAGCAAAGCAUUCCCAACUUGUAUUCAACUUUGUUCAGUCGCUACUCUUAUUUGCCUGAAUAUCAACAUUAUCAGCAGAUUAACUACUGUUCUGAUCACUCAGAGCUGCUAGGUAACUUAUUAACAGAAGGUUUAUUCAGGUAAUGCAAAUAAAGUGCAUUUGAAAACAGAACAUAGAAUGUCAACAGUUAGAAAGAGCCUUCACAAAGGUGCUUUGAGUCCUGUUGAGGACUCGUAUUUCUUCCCAGAUCUGAGUGCACAGUGUUGAGGGAUCCGCAACAUUUCAGAUGGUGUUUCCAAGUGGAUGUGUAGAGUCGUUGGUCUUCCUUUAACUGGAAAUCAGCAUGGGCAGGAUUUCUGAGCUGGGGAGGAUGAGUGGAUCAUUUGACAGGAGGGAGAAGCUGCGGGAGGUAAUGCAUAGGGUGUGUGCAAGGUCCUGCAGCGGGUAGAGUAGGGAGGCCUUGAAAAUCCCCACUGCCCCCACCUCUGCAGAGGAGCCAGGAGGCCUUGCAAGCUCCUCCUUGUAACCCCCUUGGAGUUGCUUCUUUUACCACGGUUCCUUUGGAGCUGGGGCAGAGCAGUGCCUGGCCAUCCCCUCCCACGCUGUGCUGGAGCUGACCGGGACAACUGGGGCCACAGUGCAAAGAUAGAUAGAUCACAGAAGAAGGUUAAAAAAAAAGCACUUAUAAAAAAGUUUGAACUGACUGUUUUCUGGAAGCUGUUUCUCAGCAGGGACACCAGAAUGGGGGGGCACAGCUGAGGGGAUGACAAACUGCGCAGCACAGCAAAACAGGGGAGGAGACACUUAAAACAGUUUUGCUACACAUGGACGUGAUCUUGUGAUGAUUCAGUUGACUUCUUCUAAUUUUUCUAGUUGAUGAAGGAUCUUAGAUUGCAUGGGGAAAACUUUAGUGGUGGAGGAGGAGAACUGGAAAUGCAGCAAAGGCAUGUCCUGGAGCUUCAACCGUCAAUUCAGAUAUCUAUUCAAGGAAUCCAGACUUCCCUGUAAAAUGUUUCACAAUAGUAAAACCAUUUCAAAACCUUUUCCAGAUAAGAAUUGAAAACUUGUGUUGGCAGAUUCUGUAGGUGAGAUUGCCAUGGAGAAGGCUGCAGAGGGGGGUUUGUGUCCUUUUAAAGAUACAUGGACACACAGAGAUGGAUCUGGAGAAGCACAGCUCGAAGUUGACACUGGCAAGAGCUGACAAGGCCCAAAGAUGUGCUGAUGUAAGGCUUUGGUGGGACUCAGCUCAGCAGUGAGGAGGCUGCAAAUGGGUGAAGCCAUGGCAAAGCACACAGCGCUCGGCCCCAUGCUGUUGCUGUUUGCUUUGGAUCAGCUCUGGGGCUGCCAGCAAACUGGAUGUUCAGUUCAUUAGGCCAGCCAAGAGUUGGAUGGUUACCCUGUGGGCUAGCAAGGAGACACUGACACAGGGAAGAGUUCAAGGAGAGGAGGGGAACCUGUGCUUUCAUGCUGCUCAAACAGAUUGGGGGGAAGAUCUGCCUAAUGCUUAUCCAUAAUGAAAUUAGUUUUGGAAGGCAACGGCUAUUUAUGAGAAAUAGCUGCUAAUUACGAGAUCACUUCAUGGGGAUUUUUUGAUUUCAGUUUUGCUUUUGUGUUCUUUGUUACAAGCAGUUUCCAUUUUAGCAGUGCUUGUUGGCAAAGGAAGUGCUAAAUCCAAACUUGAGUUACACCCAUGCUUUGUUUCAGCAGCCUCUUCCAGCCAGGCACUGGGCAGUGCAGUGGUGCCCUUUGGGGAGGUCUCUGCAGUCUUCUUCCAUUCCCAUGGCUGGUUUAUGAAGUGGUGGCACAAAGAGCUCACGUGAUGUAUUUAGGGGGCAAAGUGGUACAGGGCUGCACAAGGAGCCUUCAUCCAAGGCUGUGGCCUGAGCUCCCCUUUCAUGAAAGAAGGGCUGGGGUCUUUCACGUGCUGCCUUCCACCACAGCUUAACAACCCACACUUUUGAGCCAUAUCGAAACCACACUGAUGUUACUCCAUGCCAGUGCCCAGCUGAAUAAAGGAUAUUUGCCUUAUUUAGGAAAACACAGCCCCCUCUUCCCCAUAAAGCAUUCUGGAGAGAAAGGAGGAAAGUGGAGCUGGGUAAGUGCACCUGGUGGCUGAAGUGUGACCACUAAGAGCAGGCUGUGAACUUUAAACUGCUCUUUUGACACAAGAGCUUAGCUCUUAAACUAGAAAACAGAGCCUUUGUACUCACUGUUAUCAGCAAGUUCACUGUUUUCACUAUUACAACUGAAAUAGGAGAACUGGGCGUGUAAUUACGUUAAUUUGAACAGCAAGGCAACUGGAUAGCACAAUAUGUCUGCCGGCUGCUGAUGGCUCUACAUGUGUUAUUUAAAUUACAGGAUAGCAGAGGACAAUGAGUUGCUCUUACAGAUCUAGAUAUGAGGGUUAUCAGGGUUCUCCCGUUGGAAUUGCCCAAGAGGAGAGAUCAUGCCUGGGACCCCUGCUGGCAGUGGAGGCCCCAUUGUGCUCUGCAGAUCUGCACACAACUGUAUUUUCUUCACUGUGCCUUUUUAAGACACAAUUACCACUGCUGACAAGGAAGGGGUUCUAAUUUUGAAUCUGAUAAUGAAACUGAUAAACCACCCAAAAGUAAUGGAUGUGCAUUUUGAGCACCCCUUACUGCAGCCUGCCUACAGAGCCUUCUCUCAAGAAGCACUUUCCUCAUCCCUCAAGAUAUCCAGAGAGUAGAGAUUAGAAAUGUUUUAUAAAUAUUCCUCACAUAGCCCGUUCUUUUUCUCCAGUUGUAUCCUCUUUCCUCACUCAGAGAUUUUCUCCAGGGUCAUCUGAGGUUGUGAUAACGUGCAGAGCAUCCCUCAGCAGCCUGCAGAGGUCUCAGAUUUACACCAUGUCCACCUUCAGCAGCAGUCAGAUUACUUGGCAUUUGCACACGUGGUUCUCAAAACUGAGGUAUUCAGGUCUGGCAAAUCAGAUGGAUCCUGCAUAUAUGCCUUCACUGUAUGCAUGCAUAUGUUGUACAAGUGCUUAUAUUCCCAGCUUGAACAUUGUGAAGAGAAAAAUGAUGUUUCUAAUUUGUAAUUUUUUUGCUUUGUGCUUAUCUUGUUAUAAGCAUAACAUGCACUUAUUCCAAAUAAAUAAUGUGUGUUUUAUCCCCAAGGGAGCACAAUAGCUGGGCAGGGACAGCAGAUUGCAGAUAACGUGCUUAUAACCAAUUAGCAGGACAAUGCAGUCCUUUCAAGUUUUCUGCAAAGUGUUUGGUGUAUAAAUGUGCACAGAGAGCAGAGCAGGAGCUGAGAUAUGAAGCUGAAGGGAAACUAUGGCAGCGGGAGAUAUAAACUGGCAAGUGAGGAAGUUUUUGCUAAGAGGAAAAAGCAGAUGAGAGCACAUUGUUAAAAAAAAAAACCCUUUUCAAGCAUGGCUUUCUGCCUGGAGAUUUGGCACUGUGCUUGUUUUGCAAGAAGUGUGUCAACUCCCAGUGCAGUUCCUGAGCAAAAUGGGUUUCCAUCUGGUGGGGCUCACAGAGGAAUCCCUGCUCUCCACCAAAUGAGUGUCUCUUUGCCUGCCGCGGAAUUCAGGCUCCUUACAGAGCAGGACCGGGGUAGAUAGGAGCCCUGGUGUAAGUCCUGAUGUAGAUUAGCAGUGCUCUACGUCCACUGAAGUGUGUGUGUUACUGGGCCCGUCCCUUCCCUCCUUAAGGGCAGCCCAGGUGUGAGAUGUCCUAUGGGUUGACAUUCUCGAGCCCUACAGCUCCUGUCACCACUCAUGAUGGAAUGCAUGGAAAGAGAAGAAAUCAUUCUAAUGGAUAUUUGAUCUCGCUGUUGUUUCUUCAGACACCAAACUAUGUCCACCUGAUGGAGGGGACCACCAGGAGGAAGAAAUCUCAGCACCCAUUUCCCCCUUAAUGUGCUUUGCAAUCCCCCCCAUGAUGAUAUUCAUCCCUGUUGGAGUACUGCUGUAGUUGAACCGGCUGUCUGUCUUGCACGUAAGACAUCUGGUAUUGAAGUUCCUUAACACAGACAAUAUAUUUCAGAUAAAGGCAGCUCGGUGUUUGGUGAGCACGCAGCUCUCCAAAAUUGCCUUCAGAUUACUUUGCUGGUGCAGAGACCCGAUGUGUGUUCAGUGUGGGCUCACACUGACCUGCAGGCUAUGCAGCCUCUGCAACAUCUAUUGCACUCACCUUUAUCUUUUCCUCACGUUCACGCAGAUAGAAAGCAUCAUGUCCAAGCUGGCUUCUGAAAUUUCUCCCUAAUUUCUGCUCUUUGGUGGGGUCUCAGCAGUUACUGCAGAGCGUGAGUCCUGUGAAGGGUCACCGGUUCUGUGUAGCUGCAGAAGUAUCUGUGCUUUAUCCUGAAGCAGACAGCAUCAGUGCAAGGUCAGCUGGUGGUCAGCAUCGUGCUUCUCUGGGCCGGCAGCACAGCUGAAUGUUUCCAGGAAAUGAACAUUUGUGUGCCCCGAGGAGCAUUUUUAAGCAUGUUCACAUGGCGGGGAUGGAGGUGCUGGAGCAGAUGAUGUGAUAGCUCUUAAUGCAACGCAGAGCGUGUGCAUGUGGCUGGAUGGUGGAAAGCACAAGAGCUGAUAAACGCUUUGAAAUGCUGCAGAAAACCACGGUGGAAAAGAAGAUUGGAUUGAUGUGAGGAGUAGAAGGCAGUCCUGGGCUAUUUUGUGAUGUGCUGCCAAAGAGUUAAACGACCCUUAUGAAAGAAAGAAAUACAGCUGGACUGGUGCCGGAGAAAAAGGAGGAAUUAGAAGCAAGCAGAGAACACGCGCUGCUCCUGGAGACUAAC